CCUACGGGAGGCAGCAGUCGAGAAUUUUUCUCAAUGGGCGAAAGCCUGAAGGAGCGACGCCGCGUGGGGGAUGAAUGGCUUCGGCCCGUAAACCCCUGUCAUUCGGGAUCAAACGUUGUCAGUGAACAACUGGCAGCCUGAUUGUACCGGAAGAGGAAGGGACGGCUAACUCUGUGCCAGCAGCCGCGGUAAUACAGAGGUCCCGAGCGUUGUUCGGAUUCACUGGGCGUAAAGGGUGCGUAGGCGGUAGGGUAAGUUUGAGGUGAAAGCUCCGGGCUCAACCCGGAAAUGGCCUUGAAUACUAUCCUGCUAGAGGAUCGGAGGGGAGACUGGAAUUCUCGGUGUAGCAGUGAAAUGCGUAGAUCUCGAGAGGAACACCAGUGGCGAAGGCGAGUCUCUGGACGAUACCUGACGCUGAGGCACGAAAGCCAGGGGAGCAAACGGGAUUAGAUACCCUAGUAGUC
rnacentral:rRNA from 1 species